rnacentral:rRNA from 1 species
AGCGAACGCUGGUGGCAGGCCUAAAACAUGCAAGUCGAACGCCGUAGCAAUACGGAGUGGCAGACGGGUGAGUAACACGUGGGAACGUGCCCUUUGGUUCGGAACAACACAGGGAAACUUGUGCUAAUACCGGAUAAGCCCUUACGGGGAAAGAUUUAUCGCCAAAGGAUCGGCCCGCGUCUGAUUAGCUAGUUGGUGAGGUAACGGCUCACCAAGGCUACGAUCAGUAGCUGGUCUGAGGAGGAUGAUCAGCCACAUUGGGACUGAGACACGGCCCAAACGCCUACGGGAGGCAGCAGGUGGGGAAUAUUGGACAAUGGGCGCAAGCCUGAUCCAGCAAUGCCGCGUGUGUGAAGAAGGUCUUCGGAUUGUAAAGC